AAUCAAUUUUCAUUUCCAUAUGAAUUCCACAACAGCCUCCCGUCUUUUGUUACAGGGGGAAGAUGGAAAUCGGAUGCCCAUGGGGAGAAGAAAUUGCAUGCCAACAGCACAUCAUUGCUGGAGUCCAUUUUUAUGGGAGGCGUGUUUGAAGGAGCUCAGUUUCAUUCGUCCAUCCGAGAGAUGAAAAAUGGCGUGCAGAUGGCUGAGUACUUCCUUCCUCUUGUUGGGGUCAGCAGUUCACCAUGCUGAUAGAGACCCUCACACCUUCUUUAUUAGGAGCUCCCCUGCACUCAGACAAGUUGUUAUUCUGCAUCACUGGACAGCCGUCAGCGCUACCUUUGUCUAGGUUAUCUCUUAUUACAUGACUUCAUCUCUUGCAUGAAGAUGAGACUAAGAAAACUUUUACAGCACCUAAUUUUUCAAAUGAAGGAUACUUUACUGUCAACCUUAGCUGCAUCAGCAAACUUUUCUGUAAGCUUUUGUCAUUUGGGUAAUAAAUACCUGCUUGGAAUCUGAAUAUGAA